UACAGAGGGGGCCAGCGUUUAUUCGGAAUUAUUGGGCGUAAAGGGCGCGUAGGCGGCCCUGCGUGUCUUCCGUGAAAUCCCUCGGCUCAACUGAGGACGUGCGGAAGAAACUGCAGGGCUCGAGUCCGGGAGAGGAGGGUGGAAUUCCCAGUGUAGCGGUGAAAUGCGUAGAGAGUGUGGAGGAAUACCGAUGGCGAAGGCAGCCCCCUGGGAUA
rnacentral:rRNA from 1 species